AUACGGAGGGUGCAAGCGUUAUUCGGAAUCACUGGGCGUAAAGGGUGCGUAGGCGGUCUGAUAAGUCUGAUGUGAAAUCCUAUGGCUCAACCAUAGAACUGCAUUGGAAACUGUCAGACUAGAAUACUGAAGGGGCAGAUGGAAUUAGUGGUGUAGGGGUAAAAUCCGUAGAUAUCACUAGGAAUACCGAAAGCGAAAGCGAUCUGCUGGGAAGUUAUUGACGCUGAGGCACGAAAGCGUGGGUAGCAAACGGGAUUAGAUACCCCAGUAGUCC
rnacentral:rRNA from 1 species